UGGCGGACGGGUGAGUAAUGUCUGGGAAACUGCCUGAUGGAGGGGGAUAACUACUGGAAACGGUAGCUAAUACCGCAUAACGUCGCAAGACCAAAGAGGGGGACCUUCGGGCCUCUUGCCAUCGGAUGUGCCCAGAUGGGAUUAGCUAGUAGGUGGGGUAACGGCUCACCUAGGCGACGAUCCCUAGCUGGCUGAGAGGAUGACCAGCCACACUGGAACUGAGACACGGUCCAG
rnacentral:rRNA from 1 species